UACGUAGGCAGCAAGCGUUGUGCGGAGUUACUGGGCGUAAAGGGUGUGUAGGCGGUCCUCUAAGUUUGGUGUGAAAUCUCCCGGCUCAACUGGGAGGGUGCGCCGAAAACUGGGGGGCUAGAGUGCGGGAUGGGAGAGUGGAAUUCCUGGUGUAGCGGUGAAAUGCGUAGAUAUCAGGAGGAACACCUGUGGUGUAGACGGCUCUCUGGACCGCAACUGACGCUGAGACACGAAAGCGUGGGUAGCAAACAG
rnacentral:rRNA from 1 species